GUAUUCUUUACUAUACAUUAAUUAAACUUAAGAUGUUUUGAUUAACAACCCAAAAUAUUUUGGUCCUAGGUUAGAGAUAAAGGAAUAGGAUGGGGGACUUUUUAUAUAUAACCACUUAUUAAAUCAAAACUUGUCAUAUCACGAGUGACAGCUCUAGUUUGGUUUUGGAUAAUUGAUGAAACCUAUGUGUACUAACCUUUGUCAUGAGUGAAUACAAAGAUAGGUUGGUACACACCAAGCGAUGGAGCUAGAUGAUGGUCAUGGUGAUGGAGGUGACCAAAGGAUGAUAUUCAAGUGCUCCAACUUGAAAAAAAAAGAAAGAGAAAACAAAUGGACUCAAGGCAAAGGUAUUUUUAAUAGGGUC
rnacentral:lncRNA from 1 species